rnacentral:tRNA from 1 species
GGAUGGUGGAAUCGGUAGACACAAGGGAUUUAAAAUCCCUCGGCGUUCGCGCUGUGCGGGUUCAAGUCCCGCUCCGGGUACCA